UGGGGAAUAUUGCACAAUGGGCGAAAGCCUGAUGCAGCGACGCCGCGUGAGGGAUGACGGCCUUCGGGUUGUAAACCUCUUUCAGCAGGGACGAAGCGCAAGUGACGGUACCUGCAGAAGAAGCACCGGCUAACUACGUGCCAGCAGCCGCGGUAAUACGUAGGGUGCAAGCGUUGUCCGGAAUUACUGGGCGUAAAGACUUCGGAGGCGGUUUGUCUCGUCGUUGGUGAAAACCAGCAGCUCAACGGAUGGCUUGCAGUGGCUACGGGCAGGCUGGAGUACUGCAGAGGAGGCUGGAAUUCCUGGUGUAGCGGUGAAAUGCGCAGAUAUCAGGAGGAACACCGGUGGCGAAGGCGGGUCUCUGGGCAGUAACUGACGCUGAGGAACGGAAGCGUGGGUAGCGAAGAGG
rnacentral:rRNA from 1 species